GAGGCAUUUUACACACCAGGCCGGAACCACCAUCCACCAUCCACAGGCUUCAUUGAGGAGCGCUUACGAAACAUCAGAAAGAGAAUGAGAAAACUUUCCGGACCUCAAAGACAUGAAGAGGACACAUCACAUAGGAUGGUAAUCCCUGAACCUACUAUUCCAACAGAGAGAGCCCAAAGUCUUGUGAACUGGCUGAAAAAUAAUCAUGCACCUAUUAACCAAGUGGUAGAGAAUAUGAAGGAGACAACCUUAUAUCGGGCUAAGUGGAUACAUCAGAAUGGGACAAAGAGCAUCACAGAGGUUCUCCUUGAGUUCCCACAUCUCUUGAACACACCUGGAAUGAUUUCCCAAGACUUUGAUCAGGUCCAUGGAGAAACUGGGCUGAAGCUGUUUGAAUCGUGGGCCAAUUUCUUUGGGCCAACAUUCCACAAGAGAAUAGAGGCGAUGUUGCUCUUUUGGUCCAUCACCUUCUUCUUCCUCCCACUGUAUACAGAAUUGGUCAGAAGGUCUUUCGACCAUCCAUUGACGAAGCUAGGAAGGCCUUCAUUGAUCUUCAACCAGUUGGAACAAAUAUGGUUGAAUUCAUUAACCGGCCCGAGUCCACAAAACACCAUCCUUUUGUCAUGGCGAUGGGAAAUGGCCAGCAAAUCUCCCAGGCAUUUGUGAUAAUCAAUGGACAGGCUGUGGAGCAGAGCACACUGCUUGCAGCUGUAGAUCUUUGUUUCAAAGCUUUCUAUGUCUUUGACAUGAACUACCCCAAGAUGUGCGCAUCCACCUGGGAGUUCAUGCAGCAUGUCGUCUUCCAAAUAGAGGGCAAUGAAACAUGUGCAGUUUGUUUUCUUCGCACAUCCUUAUUUGCUGAAGAGUAACUUUAAACACUGUAAUUCAGUCUACCUACAAGUCUAUAAUUUAUAUAAUUUAUUAUGCUUUACUGUUGGUACAAUGCAUUUUUCAUUGUACUCCUCACCAUUGCAACGUUGUUCAGUUUGGAACUUAUCAGAGCCAAAAACAUUAAUCUUUGUCUCAUCACUCCAAGUAUACAGUCCCAGUAGUCUUCGCCUUUGUCAACAUGAGCCCAGGCAGAUUCUAGAUGGGCUUUUAUUUAUUUAUUUUUGUGUGUGUGUGGGCUUCAGCAGUGGCUUGCUUUGUGGACGCAGUUAUGCAUGCCACUCCUUUGCAGUGUAUGUUUUAUGGUGUCACGGGAAACACUCACCCCAGUUUGACUUUCUAAUGAUUAAGCCAACUGUGCUAAACUUGCAUGGUGACCUUCUUCAACUUCUCUCAUCAAAAAACACUCUUGAUGGGGUGCUUAUUUCCGUGGACUGCCUGGACGUCUCAGUGAGUCCCGCGUUUUUGAAUUUUUGGAUCACUUUUACAACAGUCUUAUAACCUUGACUUUUUUUUUGUACAAAUAAAUUAUUUUCUUUCUCGGGUCUUGUGACAUUUCAUUUUCAUGUGGUAGUAUUUUUUCAAAAUUAUAUGGGAGUGGAUUUUGUCUCUUAAAUAUGACUCUUUUUAAUUGGCCACCUGUGUGAUGACUGAUUAGAAUCUGCUGGUGAAUUCCUGUUUAUUACAAUUUUAUUUUAUAUGUUCUUCUAACACAUUCAUUGUGGUGAAUUAAUUUUUGCACCACAAUCUUAUAUAAUGUUGUUAAAAUAAUUCAAAUUUUGCCUUUGGUGCUGACUAAUUUAAUUUAAAACCAAUAAACCAGAUUUCCACAAAUAUGUCAUUGUAUAGGAUUCCAUAGAAAGCAUUAAUUCUUAAAAUAACUUCUACAGUAACAGCACUUUAAUAUGUAGGGGAGACUGGGGGCAAUUGUAACAUUUUUCACAUUGUACUUCAUAACUCACAGACUACUUGACUUACACAAGUCAUCUUUUGAUACAAGAAAUAAAUAUGCACUAAUUAAUAAUACUAUUUAUAUAUUUUGAAUAAUAAGUACAAGAUAAUAAUACUGAGAUAAAUGCAAGAACUCAGAGAGUUACAGUUGCCCCCUUGCUGGGGGCGAGUGUAGUCUCAGCCUCAGACGUCACGCCCAUGGACCGUUGGCUAAACGUCUGAUGCAUAUGGGACACAAAAGUGGAAAACACUUCAGAAGUGUCGAAGUCAUCAUCUGAUUGGUUGAAUUCUACAGGAUUUCCGGGAGACCCGUGUGACGCGUUCUUUAACGUUCCACCUGGAAACAAAGAUACAGUGGAGCCAAACCCUCAAGAAAGAAGAAAGCCAUAGUGUUUGCAACUGUGAAAAUGAGCACUUAUCAUGAUCAACUAAACGCUGGAGUUUCAAAAGUAUGUGAAAUAUUUAAAGUUCGCAGCAUAGAUCCUUUUAAAUAUGCCAGAGAGUUUUACACACCAGUCUGUCAUUGUGGCGACAUUUCCACGCCUCGAAACAUGAUGAUGAACGAAACAAACUGUGAUUGGUUGUUUGACAUGUCAGUCAAAUGGCCUCAUGGGCGGGCCUUGGCCAAUGAAAGCUGCCAUGAAUUCCAGACCUUCACGCGAAGGUCGUUACAUGAGACUAGUGGCAACCACAUGUGACGACCCCGAACUGGACUCCGCUUUGUCCACACUGAAAGCAGAUUCGGCGAUCCAUGAAUGAAAAUUCUGUCAUUAAUUACUCACCCAUGACCCGCAUCCUUUUAGAGACUUCAACAUACACACAAGAUGGCUGCCAGUAGUUUUCUUUGAGAACCUGGCCUCUUAGAAUCUAACAAAAAUCUACUGAAUCCUUUCUGGUAUUCUCAAAUUUAGUGGUUAAUUGACUCAAGUUGCAUUUUAUUUAAAUUGUGUUUCAAUAUUGAGGACAAUAUUUCCACUAUCCGCUGAGCUUGUGCUGUAGCCCAAGUUAAUGGGCGUUUGGGCCUACUAUGACCUUGACAAACAGAUCUGUCACCAUCAACAUUUGCAAUUUUCAUCAACUUCCGGU
ensembl:lncRNA